UACGUAGGGGGCAAGCGUUGUCCGGAUUUAUUGGGCGUAAAGAGCGCGCAGGCGGUCGUUCAAGUCGAGUGUGAAAGCCCCCGGCUCAACUGGGGAGGGUCACUCGAUACUGAUCGACUUGAAGGCAGGAGAGGGAAGCGGAAUUCCCGGUGUAGUGGUGAAAUGCGUAGAUAUCGGGAGGAACACCAGUGGCGAAGGCGGCUUCCUGGCCUGUUCUUGACGCUGAGGCGCGAAAGCUAGGGGAGCAAACGGG
rnacentral:rRNA from 1 species